GACGAACGCUGGCGGCGUGCUUAACACAUGCAAGUCGAACGGUGCAGCGCCUUCCUUUUUGGUGGGUGUGGAUGAGUGGCGAACGGGUGAGUAACACGUGAGUAACCUUCCCCCUUCUUCUGGAUAACCGCAUGAAAGUGUUGCUAAUACGGGAUUUUCUGCGUCUGUCUCGUGAUGGGUCUGGGAAAGAUGUUGUUUCGGUAGAGGAUGGGCGCGCGGCCUAUCAGCUUGUGGGUGGGGUGAUGGCCUACCAAGGCGGUGACGGGUAGCCGGCCUGAGCGGGUGGACGGUCAGAAUGGGAAUGAGGCACGGCCAAGAUGGGUACGGGAGGCAGCAGUGGGGAAUACUGGACGAUGGGGGCAAGACUGAUGCAGCGACGCCGCGUGAGGGAUGGAGGCCUUCGGGUUGUGAACUGCAUGCGCUAGUGAAGCAGGCCUGCCUUGCUUGUGAGGGGGUUGACGGUAGCUGGAUAAGAAGCUCCGGCUAACUACGUG
rnacentral:rRNA from 1 species